AUUUAUAUAGUUUAAUAAAAAACAAUACAUUUUCAUUGUAUAAAUAAUAUCUCUAUAUUUAUAAGUU
rnacentral:tRNA from 1 species